rnacentral:rRNA from 1 species
GAUGAACGCUGGCGGCGUGCCUAAUACAUGCAAGUCGAGCGAACAGACGAGGAGCUUGCUCCUCUGACGUUAGCGGCGGACGGGUGAGUAACACGUGGAUAACCUACCUAUAAGACUGGGAUAACUUCGGGAAACCGGAGCUAAUACCGGAUAAUAUAUUGAACCGCAUGGUUCAAUAGUGAAAGACGGUUUUGCUGUCACUUAUAGAUGGAUCCGCGCCGCAUUAGCUAGUUGGUAAGGUAACGGCUUACCAAGGCAACGAUGCGUAGCCGACCUGAGAGGGUGAUCGGCCACCCUGGAACUGGGCCACGGUCCAGGCUCCUACGGGAGGCAGCAGUAGGGAAUCUUCCGCAAUGGGCGAAAGCCUGACGGAGCAACGCCGCGUGAGUGAUGACGGUCUUCGGAUCGUAAAGCUCUGUUAUUAGGGAAAAACAAAUGUGUAAGUAACUAUGCACGUCUUGACGGUACCUAAUCAGAAAGCCACGGCUAACUACGUG